rnacentral:lncRNA from 1 species
GCCCUAGGAAAUCAUGAGAAAGCAUUCUUAAGUCUCCUCCUCAAACGUUGAUUUGAUGAGUGGAAGAGAAUCAGAAGCAUGAGAGUGCCUACAACAGAGAGGUCACUAAUUAAAGAAUGGAACAUAAGGGAGGAAGGACAUGUCCUCUUGGUCUCCUUUAUCAGAAUACUGAAAUGAUGACAUAUCCAUGACAGCUCCAAGGCCAGAGCUCUGUUCUGAGACAGGGUGAUAAAGCAACAUGUUAACAGAUGCUACUGGAUGGAAAGGACACUACAUUCUGGAGACAUCCACAUAUGCUUCAUGGGUCACUUUGAUGAUUCCAGAUACUGUAUGUUACAAAAGAGGUUCCUGACUUUCUGCUUGGAUCUCUCUUUCACAUCAUCAUCAUCAUCAUCAUCUUCAUCAUCAUUAUGGUUAGAUAUUGGGUGUUCCUCAAAAGCUCACGUGUAAGAAAAUGCAAGAAAGUUUAGAGGUAAAAUGACUGAGUUAUGAGAGUCUUUAACAAUCAGCACAUUAAUCCUCUGAUAAAGAUUAAGUGGGUGGUAACUGUAGGCAGAUUGGGUAUGGCUGGAGGAGGUAGUUAAUUGGAGGCAUGUCUUGGGGAUAUAUUUUGUCCCUGUAAAGAAAGUCUCUCUCCCUCUCUGCUUCUUGGUGCCAUGUUCCCAACUGCUUUUCUCUGACAUGAUGUUCUGCCUCACCUUGAGCCCCUAGAAAUGGAGCUGGUCUUUUGUAAACUGAGAUCUCUGAAACUGUGAACUCCCAGAUAAACCAGAUAAACCUUUCCUCCUUUUUCCAUUUUUUUUUUUUUUCUUGUGGUGCUGGGGAUGGAACCCAGGGCCUUGUUCCUGGGUUCCUUCCUCCUCUUAAUUGUUCUAUCAGGUCUUUUGGUCACAGAAGCAAAAGAGCUAGCUAAAACAAUCAUCAUUGUCAUCAUCAAUAUAAAAUAAAAAGCCACAUGUACCAACUGAUUACAGAGGCUAUGACUGGAAGUAGUGGACUAAAGUGAGGGUCACUGGUUUUUAGGAUUUUGAAGGUUCUGGCUGCUUGAUUAAUCUUGGGGUAAAGUGAUCAGAUUCCCAACGGACUUUAAUGCUCAAUUUUGAAAAAACAAACUUUAUAUUCAAUGGUUUGAUCAUUUGUCUAUCAAGAUCAGUUUAGGUCAAAACACAGAAUCAAUGAUUUAUCUUUGACUCACCUAAUAUGAUCAGUGUGAAUAAAUUAAUUGGAUAACUCAGAUCUCAAAACAAUAGUUGUUUGGCCUUAAAUAUGGAUCUAGAUAUUACUUGUGUUCAAAGACCAGAAAGACUUUCAGAGAGAUGUUAACCAAGUAAUGAAAAUAUUAAUUUUCUUUAAAAGAGAGAAGAGUAUUAGAUGUUACUAAAUAUUUAUAAUUUUAGAAAACUUGUACUAAUGAGACUAAAAUUUGGGUGAUGGACACAAUGAAAUUAUAAAAAAAAAACCUCAAAAGUAAAACGUUUUUGAAGAAAUGCUGUUAGUACAUAACUGUUUGCUAUAAGAGAUUAUAUUUGUU